rnacentral:tRNA from 1 species
GCGCGAGUGGCGAAAUUGGCAUACGCGCUGGAUUUAGGUUCCAGUGUCUUCGGACGUGGGGGUUCAAGUCCCCCCUCGCGCACCA